GAUCAUGGCUCAGGACGAACGCUGGCGGCGCGCCUAACACAUGCAAGUCGAACGAGAGAUGAAGAGCUUGCUCUUCAAAUCGAGUGGCGAACGGGUGAGUAACGCGUGAGGAACCUGCCUCAAAGAGGGGGACAACAGUUGGAAACGACUGCUAAUACCGCAUAAGCCUACGGCUCGGCAUCGAGCAGAGGGAAAAGGAGUGAUCCGCUUUGAGAUGGCCUCGCGUCCGAUUAG
rnacentral:rRNA from 1 species